rnacentral:rRNA from 2 species
AUGCAAGUCGAGCGGACUGAUGGGAGCUUGCUCCCAUCAAUCAGCGGCGGACGGGUGAGUAACACGUGGGUAACCUGCCUGUAAGACUGGGAUAACUCCGGGAAACCGGGGCUAAUACCGGAUAACUCAUUUCCUCGCAUGAGGAAAUGUUGAAAGGUGGCUUUUAGCUAUCACUUACAGAUGGACCCGCGGCGCAUUAGCUAGUUGGUGAGGUAACGGCUCACCAAGGCGACGAUGCGUAGCCGACCUGAGAGGGUGAUCGGCCACACUGGGACUGAGACACGGCCCAGACUCCUACGGGAGGCAGCAGUAGGGAAUCUUCCGCAAUGGACGAAAGUCUGACGGAGCAACGCCGCGUGAGUGAUGAAGGUUUUCGGAUCGUAAAACUCUGUUGUUAGGGAAGAACAAGUACCGUUCGAAUAGGGCGGUACCUUGACGGUACCUAACCAGAAAGCCACGGCUAACUACGUGCCAGCAGCCGCGGUAAUACGUAGGUGGCAAGCGUUGUCCGGAAUUAUUGGGCGUAAAGCGCGCGCAGGUGGUUUCUUAAGUCUGAUGUGAAAGCCCACGGCUCAACCGUGGAGGGUCAUUGGAAACUGGGGAACUUGAGUGCAGAAGAGGAAAGUGGAAUUCCAAGUGUAGCGGUGAAAUGCGUAGAUAUUUGGAGGAACACCAGUGGCGAAGGCGACUUUCUGGUCUGUAACUGACACUGAGGCGCGAAAGCGUGCGGAGCAAACAGGAUUAGAUACCCUGGUAGUCCACGCCGUAAACGAUGAGUGCU